GCCCAGACUCCUACGGGAGGCAGCAGUGGGGAAUAUUGCGCAAUGGGCGAAAGCCUGACGCAGCGACGCCGCGUGAGGGAUGAAGGUCUUCGGAUCGUAAACCUCUGUCAGCAGGGAAGAACGGUCACUGUGCUAAUCAGCAGUGAAUUGACGGUACCUGACCAAGAAGCCCCGGCUAACUACGUGCCAGCAGCCGCGGUAAUACGUAGGGGGCAAGCGUUAUCCGGAUUUACUGGGUGUAAAGGGGGCGCAGACGGCAAUGCAAGCCAGGAGUGAAAGCCCGGGGCCCAACCCCGGGACUGCUCUUGGAACUGCAUGGCUGGAGUACAGGAGGGGCAGGCGGAAUUCCUAGUGUAGCGGUGAAAUGCGUAGACAUUAGGAGGAACACCGGUGGCGAAGGCGGCCUGCUGGACUGUGACUGACGUUGAGGCCCGAAGGCGUGGGGAGCAAACGGGAUUAGAUACCCCAGUAG
rnacentral:rRNA from 1 species